rnacentral:rRNA from 1 species
UACGUAGGGGGCUAGCGUUGUCCGGAAUUAUUGGGCGUAAAGAGCGUGUAGGCGGCCAGGUAGGUCUGCUGUGAAAACUCGAGGCUCAACCUCGAGACGUCGGCGGAAACCAUCUGGCUAGAGUCCGGAAGAGGAGAGUGGAAUUCCUGGUGUAGCGGUGAAAUGCGCAGAUAUCAGGAAGAACACCCGUGGCGAAGGCGGCUCUCUGGGACGGUACUGACGCUGAGACGCGAAAGCGUGGGGAGCAAACAGG